rnacentral:rRNA from 1 species
UACGGGGGGGCAAGCGUUGUUCGGAAUUACUGGGCGUAAAGGGCUCGUAGGCGGCCAACUAAGUCAGACGUGAAAUCCCCAGGCUCAACCUGGGAACUGCGUCUGAUACUGGAUGGCUUGAAUCCGGGAGAGGGAUGCAGAAUUCCAGGUGUAGCGGUGAAAUGCGUAGAUAUCUGGAGGAAUACCGGUGGCGAAGGCGGCAUCCUGGACCGGCAUUGACGCUGAGGAGCGAAAGCUAGGGGAGCAACGGGG